rnacentral:rRNA from 1 species
UACGUAGGGUGCAAGCGUUGUCCGGAAUUAUUGGGCGUAAAGAGCUCGUAGGCGGUCUGUCGCGUCGGCUGUGAAAACCCGGGGCUCAACCCCGGGCCUGCAGUCGAUACGGGCAGACUAGAGUGCGGUAGGGGAGACUGGAAUUCCUGGUGUAGCGGUGGAAUGCGCAGAUAUCAGGAGGAACACCGGUGGCGAAGGCGGGUCUCCGGGCCGUAACUGACGCUGAGGAGCGAAAGCGUGGGGAGCGAACAGG